GCCUUUGAAAAGAGUCAGCAAAAUGUCACUUACACGCCCCCCUGAUUCAAAUAGGGCUAGCGCUGCCCCUGAGCGCGAGCACAGGUAACUGUGCGGGGAAAAGGCCCUCAUUGAGACUUGGCCCCAGUAGUUGCAAUUUCUUAAAAAAUGCCCUGGUGGCACCCCCCUGGGGAAUAGAUUUUCUGUGGUUCAAUUCAUAGUACCAUACCUGCUCAAUUACCACAAAAAGUUCCCAAGCAAAAAACUUGCCAAACACCGAGAAAAUGAGUGAUCAGUGAUUAUCCUCUAUUAAAUUGUAUUACAGCAAGAAAAUGUGAAAUUUUAUAUUCAAUUACAGCAAUAAUGAC